rnacentral:SRP_RNA from 1 species
GGGCACGGUGGCAUGUGCCUGGGUCCCAACUAUUCGGGAGAUUGAGGCUGGAGGAUAGCUUCAGUCCAGGAGUUCUGGGCUGUAGUGCGCUAUGUCGAUCGGGUGUCUGCACUAAGUUCGGCAUCAAUAUGGUGACCUCCCAAAAAAAAAAAAUGAAAAACAAAAAAAACAGAAAAAAAAUAUAUAUAUAUGGUGACCUCCUGGGAGCCGGGGACCACCAGGUUACCUAAGGAGGGGUGAACUGGCCCAGAUCCGAAAUGGAGCAGGUCAAAACUCCCGUGCUGAUCAGCAGUGGAAUCGCACCUGUGAAUAGCCACUGCACUCCAGCCUGGGCAACAUGGCGAGACCCUGUCUCAA